rnacentral:rRNA from 1 species
AUUGAACGCUGGCGGCAGGCUUAACACAUGCAAGUCGAGCGGAGAGAGGUAGCUUGCUACUGAUCUUAGCGGCGGACGGGUGAGUAAUGCUUAGGAAUCUGCCUAUUAGUGGGGGACAACAUUUCGAAAGGAAUGCUAAUACCGCAUACGUCCUACGGGAGAAAGCAGGGGAUCUUCGGACCUUGCGCUAAUAGAUGAACCUAAGUCGGAUUAGCUAGUUGGUGGGGUAAAGGCCUACCAAGGCGACGAUCUGUAGCGGGUCUGAGAGGAUGAUCCGCCACACUGGGACUGAGACACGGCCCAGACUCCUACGGGAGGCAGCAGUGGGGAAUAUUGGACAAUGGGCGGAAGCCUGAUCCAGCCAUGCCGCGUGUGUGAAGAAGGCCUUAUGGUCGUAAAGCACUUUAAGCGGGGAGGAGGCUACUUUAGUUAAUACCUAGAGAUAGUGGACGUUACUCGCAGAAUAAGCACCGGCUAACUCUGUGCCAGCCGCCGCCGUAAAAC